rnacentral:rRNA from 1 species
UCGCUCCUACCGAUUGAAUGAUCCGGUAAAGUCUUUGGACCGAGGCUGGUUUGUGGGCAACCAUUGACCAGUUUUGGGAAGUUGAUUAAACCUUAUCAUUUAGAGGAAGGAG